UUCCUACGGGGCGCAGCAGUGAGGAAUAUUGGUCAAUGGGCGGGAGCCUGAACCAGCCAAGUCGCGUGAGGGAAGACGGUCCUACGGAUUGUAAACCUCUUUUGCCGGGGAGCAACGGGGUCCUUGCGAGGGCCCGAUGAGAGUACCCGGAGAAAAAGCAUCGGCUAACUCCGUGCCAGCAGCCGCGGUAAUACGGAGGAUGCGAGCGUUAUCCGGAUUUAUUGGGUUUAAAGGGUGCGUAGGCGGGCUGUUAAGUCAGCGGUCAAAUGCGUAGAUAUUAGG
rnacentral:rRNA from 1 species